GGAAAGAUGAAAAGAACUUUGAAAAGAGAGUUAAAUAGUACGUGAAAUUGUUGAAAGGGAAACGAUUGAAGCCAGUCGUACCUGCGGGUAAUCAGCCUUUUGGGCAUGAUUCUGUGGAGCGUGAGGAGUUAAACGCCUUCAUGCCUGCAUAUUCGUGUACUUUGGGUGUACUUGCCUGUGUGGUUAGUUAACAUCAAUUUUGGUUAUCAUAAAAUGGUUGGAGGAAUGUAGCUUCGAUUUCGAUUGAAGUGUUAUAGCCUUCGGCAGAUGUGAUGAUCGGGAUUGAGGAUUGCAACGGAUACCCUUCGGGGCUACCUGUCUGGUCUCUGAUCGUUGCUCUGGUGCCGAAAGCGUGCUUACGGUCUAUCAAAGUCGAUGGUCAAUAGGUUAGAACGGGUUAAAUUCGUUAAGGAUGUUGGCGUAAUGGCUUUAAACGACCCGUCUUGAAACACGGACCA
rnacentral:rRNA from 1 species